GCCAGUAUAGCUCAGUUGGUAGAGCAGCGCACUCGUAACGCGAAGGUCACAGGUUCGAUUCCUGCUACUGGCACCA
rnacentral:tRNA from 1 species